rnacentral:rRNA from 1 species
ACCUUCGGGCCUCUCGCGUCAGGAUAUGCCUAGGUGGGAUUAGCUAGUUGGUGAGGUAAGGGCUCACCAAGGCGACGAUCCCUAGCUGGUCUGAGAGGAUGAUCAGCCACACUGGAACUGAGACACGGUCCAGACUCCUACGGGAGGCAGCAGUGGGGAAUAUUGCACAAUGGGCGCAAGCCUGAUGCAGCCAUGCCGCGUGUGUGAAGAAGGCCUUCGGGUUGUAAAGCACUUUCAGUCGUGAGGAAGGUAGUGUAGUUAAUAGCUGCAUUAUUUGACGUUAGCGACAGAAGAAGCACCGGCUAACUCCGUGCCAGCAGCCGCGGUAAUACGGAGGGUGCGAGCGUUAAUCGGAAUUACUGGGCGUAAAGCGCAUGCAGGUGGUUUGUUAAGUCAGAUGUGAAAGCCCGGGGCUCAACCUCGGAAUAGCAUUUGAAACUGGCAGACUAGAGUACUGUAGAGGGGGGUAGAAUUUCAGGUGUAGCGGUGAAAUGCGUAGAGAUCUGAAGGAAUACCGGUGGCGAAGGCGGCCCCCUGGACAGAUACUGACACUCAGAUGCGAAAGCGUGGGGAGCAAACAGGAUUAGAUACCCUGGUAGUCCACGCCGUAAACGAUGUCUACUUGGAGGUUGUGGCCUUGAGCCGUGGCUUUCGGAGCUAACGCGUUAAGUAGACCGCCUGGGGAGUACGGUCGCAAGAUUAAAACUCAAAUGAAUUGACGGGGGCCCGCACAAGCGGUGGAGCAUGUGGUUUAAUUCGAUGCAACGCGAAGAACCUUACCUACUCUUGACAUCCAGAGAACUUUCCAGAGAUGGAUUGGGCCUUCGGAACUCUAGACCGGUCGCUCGG